UCGGAAAUCAAUGAUGAUUAAUUAGUUGAUGCUCAUUAUAUGUCUGUAUACAUAUAUGCCAAAUUAUUUAAUUUGUCAUUAUAUUGUUCGGUUUUAUGUUGUGAAGAACAGGAUGGAUGAUAAUGAAGUUGAAGUGGAUGGAAAAGCUAUUGAGAUGUGGAAAAGCAUGUCAAAGGAGGUACUUCAUUUGGAUCUAUUGAUGGUACUAAAUCUUUUAUUUGUGUUUCUUACUCAUAUUACUCUGCUCUUGUUCAGAUGUGAAAUGUGUUUGAAUCACCAGAUAUUGGGUUCUUCACAUUAUAAAUUUUUGUUAUUGAUGUUUAGACAUUUGAACGAUAAUGCAUCAGUACUAUUUAAGUAUUUGGUGGUAAUUAAACGACUACAUUUGUCUGCUCUUAAUUGCCUAACUAUAUGGCAUCUAUUAUUGAAUUUUCUAGCAAUGGACAACUUAAUAUUAUAUAUAUCUUUCUGAUACGCUUUCAUAGGUAACGAUUAAAUCAAUAAGUAUCUAAUAUAAUAAUUCAAUGAAAAUUCUUUUCACUAUAAGUGCAUAUAGAUUCAAUUCUUUUCUGUUUCUCCCUUAAUUUUUGUGAAAUUCUGUUAGCUUAUGCUCCUAGUGGCUGAUAAAUACCACAGCAUAACACUUGUUUUCUGAAUCAGGAAACCAUGUUCCCAUGGAUGCCGAGAAAAAUCUCUUGAGACAAAAAUGGUUCCAUGCUCUCUGGACUGAUACAUGGGAACUUCAUGGUUAUGGAAGGCAAGUCAAGAUGUGGCUAUUGUGAGCAGUAGUUAUUCUACAAGUUACUGAUAGUGUAUAACUAGUAUAUGUGCAUGUUCAUUUGAUGCACGUCAAGAAUCAUAUUGUUGUAUCUUGGAAAUGACAGGGGAUCGUGAAUUCAUUUGAUGGGCAAGAAGAAAUACAUGUACCUAUUUUGGAGAUAAUAGUGGAAUUUUAUGACAUGUUUAAAAUUUAAAAUCUUUAA
rnacentral:lncRNA from 1 species